CAAAGGCUUGGUCCUGACUUUACUAUCAGCUUUAACCAGAUUUACACAUGCAAGUCUCCGCACCCCUGUGAGGAUGCCCUUAAUCUCCUGCCCGGAGACGAGGAGCCGGCAUCAGGCACGCUAACCAAAGCAGCCCAAGACGCCUUGCUA
rnacentral:rRNA from 1 species